GUGGGGAAUAUUGGUCAAUGGGGGAAACCCUGAACCAGCAACGCCGCGUGAAGGAAGAAGGCUUUCGGGUUGUAAACUUCUUUGACAGGGGACGAAACAAAUGACGGUACCCUGAAAACAAGCCACGGCUAACUACGUGCCAGCAGCCGCGGUAAUACGUAGGUGGCAAGCGUUGUCCGGAUUUACUGGGUGUAAAGGGCGUGUAGGCGGGACGGUAAGUCAGAUGUGAAAUGUAGGGGCUCAACCCCUGAACUGCAUUUGAAACUAUCGUUCUUGAGUGAUGGAGAGGCAGGCGGAAUUCCGUGUGUAUCGGUGAAAUGCGUAGAUAUACGGAGGAACACCAGUGGCGAAGGCGGCCUGCUGGACAUUAACUGACGCUGAGGCGCGAAAGCGUGGGGAGCAAACAGGAUUAGAAACCCGGGUAGUCC
rnacentral:rRNA from 1 species